rnacentral:misc_RNA from 1 species
GUUAAACAAUCUAGAAUUGUAUCAGCAACAACAAGGAUUGCUCUAAAAGAUGAGACGUAAUGAGCACAUAUACUCGAUGUUAAUGAAAUGAGCUUAUGUAUCAGAAUUGAGCGAGACACGAGACUUAAAUCAAAGAAUGACUAUUUCUCAUUAAAUAAUAACUUCAUCAAAAAAGGCUAUUCAAUGGAAUCAUACCCAUGGGACGAAAAACAUAUCAGGACUGCUAAAAACUACUCUAGAAAACAAUUCCUAUGUGCAGUGUGGUUUGGCCUUGGGGUCGUAUAGGAAAAGGCCAAAGCUUUUAACUGUGUUAAAGAAAAGCAUGGUAAGAAUUCAAGAUUCAGGAGUUCAAUAUGGAAAUGUCCCUGUCAUUCGAAUAUGGUCAAGUGUCCUUUGAAGGCCAUAUUUUUGCACUGCUCGGUGGCCUAUUCUGAAUCCAUCUCCAUAUACAGGGGAAGUGUCUGAUUCAAUCUGAUGUUUAAAAAAUUCCCCCAGCUUCCUCUCAAAUGGAGAUCUUGCACCCCGUUUUGAAGCUCGAGAAGCAGAGGAUGAAGCAACAUUGCUGCCAGAACCAGUUCGGAGCUGUGACUCUAACCACAUGUAUGCAAGCACCUGACAAAUGCCCUCUUCAACAUCUUGACUGAGAUGUUGGAAACCUUUAAGUCGCAUCCAUGCAUGCAUCAUCUCAUGAGCCAGGAUUGAUCCAGUAAGCAACCUUGGGAGGCCAAACAAAAUAAGAAUCGCUGUCACCUCACAACGACGUGUCAAUUUGUACGGCUCUGUUACCAUACCCAUGGCCUGGUUUCCAGCUCCAAACCUUGGCCGUCUUACUACCCUGCUGACUGUUUGUUCCUCAGAAAGACAAAGUCCUCUGGUUUCUGGCAUAUGAUAAUGGCCAUUCCUUUCCCCCUCCCUGGCUUCAUUCAGUGCUUGUCUCUCAACCAAAAGUAGUGGGACAUGCUGCUCCACUCUCAUAUUCAAACUUUCAUAAAAUUCCAGUAUAUCAAGGGAAAGGGGCUGACAUUGAUUGAUGUCCA